rnacentral:rRNA from 1 species
AGCGAACGCUGGCGGCAGGCCUAACACAUGCAAGUCGAACGAUCCUUCGGGAUAGUGGCGGACGGGUGAGUAACACGUGGGAACGUGCCCUUUGGUUCGGAAUAACUCAGGGAAACUUGAGCUAAUACCGGAUGAGCCCUUCGGGGGAAAGAUUUAUCGCCAUUGGAGCGGCCCGCGUUGGAUUAGCUAGUUGGUGGGUA